rnacentral:rRNA from 1 species
CCUACGGGAGGCAGCAGUGGGGAAUAUUGGACAAUGGGGGGAACCCUGAUCUAGCCAUGCCGCGUGUGUGAAGAAGGCCCUCGGGUUGUAAAGCACUUUCAGUGAGGAAGAACGCCUGGUGGUUAAUACCCAUCAGGAAAGACAUCACUCACAGAAGAAGCACCGGCUAACUCCGUGCCAGCAGCCGCGGUAAUACGGAGGGUGCGAGCGUUAAUCGGAAUUACUGGGCGUAAAGCGCGCGUAGGUGGCUUGAUAAGCCGGUUGUGAAAGCCCCGGGCUCAACCUGGGAACGGCAUCCGGAACUGUCAAGCUAGAGUGCAGGAGAGGAAGGUAGAAUUCCCGGUGUAGCGGUGAAAUGCGUAGAGAUCGGGAGGAAUACCAGUGGCGAAGGCGGCCUUCUGGACUGACACUGACACUGAGGUGCGAAAGCGUGGGUAGCAAACAGGAUUAGAUACCCUUGUAGUC